AUUGAACGCUGGCGGCAUGCCUUACACAUGCAAGUCGAACGGCAGCGCGGGGCAACCUGGCGGCGAGUGGCGAACGGGUGAGUAAUAUAUCGGAACAUACCCUAGAGUGGGGGAUAACGUAGCGAAAGUUACGCUAAUACCGCAUACGCACUAAGGUGGAAAGUGGGGGAUCCUCGGACCUCAUGCUCAUGGAGUGGCCGAUAUCUGAUUAGCUAGUUGGUGAGGUAAAGGCUCACCAAGGCGACGAUCAGUAGCUGGUUUGAGAGAACGACCAGCCACACUGGAACUGAGACACGGUCCAGACUCCUACGGAGGCAGCAGUGGGAAUUUUGGACAAUGGGGCAACCCUGAUCCAGCAAUGCCGCGUGAGUGAAGAAGGCCU
rnacentral:rRNA from 1 species